rnacentral:rRNA from 1 species
GACGAACGCUGGCGGCGUGCCUAAUACAUGCAAGUAGGACGCAGUUGCGAACGGGUGAGUAACACGUAGGUAAAUGCCUAUAAGAGGGGGAUAACUAAUGGAAACGAUAGCUCAUACCGCAUACUAGUAGAUGGACCUGCGUUGUAUUAGCUGGUAGGUUGGGUAAUGGCAUACCUAGGCGACGAUACAUAGCCGACCUGGGAAGGUGAUCGGCCACACUGGGACUGGCGCACGGCCCAUACUCCUACGGGAAGCAGCAAUAGGGAAUCAUCGGCAAUGGGGGGAACCCUGACCGAGCAACGCCGCGUGAGUGAAGAAGGUUUUCGGGUCGUAAAGCUCUUUUGUUAAGGGAGCGGUACUUAACCAGAAAGGGACGGCUAACUACGUGCCAGCCGCCGCGGUAAUUC